rnacentral:lncRNA from 1 species
CUGUCCUUAUUGAAACCCUAACUGCUUUGGGUGCUGAAGUUAGAUGGUGUUCUUGCAACAUCUUCUCAACUCAGGACCAUGCUGCAGCAGCCAUUGCACGUGACAGUGCUGCUGUCUUUGCCUGGAAAGGUGAGACUUUGCAGGAGUACUGGUGGUGUACUGAGAGGGCACUUGACUGGGGUCCAGGUGGUGGUCCUGAUCUGAUUGUUGAUGAUGGAGGUGAUGCUACUCUGUUGAUUCAUGAGGGAGUUAAGGCUGAAGAGGAGUUUGCUAAGAAUGGAACAGUCCCAGAUCCCACUUCUACUGACAAUGUUGAGUUUCAACUUGUGCUUACUAUUAUUAAGGAGAGCUUAAAGACUGAUCCAUUAAGGUACACUAAGAUGAAGGAGAGACUUGUUGGUGUUUCUGAGGAAACUACCACUGGUGUUAAGAGGCUUUACCAAAUGCAGGCUAAUGGAUCUUUGCUUUUUCCUGCUAUCAAUGUUAAUGACUCUGUUACCAAGAGCAAGGUAUAUUAUAUGUGCUUUCUAACUUAUUGUUUUGAUUCUUAUGCUUCAGAUCUAUGUGAAUUGGUUGUGUGUAGUGUUCAUGUGCUAGUUAUACAUAUAGAUCUGUUAUGAAAUGAUUGAUAAUUGCUUGGAUCUGAUACAGAGGAACUAUACUGUUAACUUAAUGUUGAUUGAUUUGUACUUAUUGUACAAGUGCAAUGUAUAUUUGAGUUGAAUCUUAUUAAUGAAUCAUGAAUCUUCUACUGUUUUGGUAAUGUUUGAGGAAUAAAUGCUAUUGCCUUUUGAAAAGCUAAAAGUUUUCAUCUUUUCUAAUUGGAGUGCGUGGUUAUAUAGUCACUGAUUAGAAAAUUUUGUAAGAUAUUUAUGUGAUGAUGCAUAUUUCACUAGAUCCGUAUUGUUAAGCAUAGAAAAGAUGGUUUCUAAAAUGUCUGAUCUUGUUACAUGAAGAAAUGGUACUUAUUUAACCUCAUAAGUUCAUGACUUUAUUGUAUUGAUUGUUUGCUUAAAGUGGAAGAAUGGUGAAGUGUAUAGUUUUUCACUUGAUUAGUUGAAGAAUGACAACUUGAUUAGCUUAGAUAGGUUUACUUAUAGCUCCAUUUGGAAAAGCUAUUUACAGUAGAUGCAUAAAGUAGUAGAUCUUGAUUAUUAUAUUUAUACCAGGGUCAUGUUUGUUAUUAAGCUCAUUGAUUGACAAUUGUAUUGAUCUGUUUGGUUUGCAGUUUGACAACUUGUAUGGAUGCCGCCACUCACUUCCCGAUGGUCUCAUGAGGGCUACUGAUGUUAUGAUUGCUGGAAAGGUUGCUCUUGUUGCUGGUUAUGGAGAUGUCGGCAAGGGAUGUGCUGCUGCCAUGAAACAAGCUGGUGCCCGUGUGAUUGUGACUGAGAUUGACCCAAUCUGUGCUCUCCAGGCUACCAUGGAAGGCCUCCAGGUUCUUCCUCUUGAGGAUGUUGUUUCUGAGGUUGAUAUCUUUGUGACCACCACCGGUAACAAGGACAUCAUCAUGGUUGACCACAUGAGGAAGAUGAAGAACAAUGCCAUUGUCUGCAACAUUGGUCACUUUGACAACGAAAUCGACAUGCAUGGUCUUGAAACCUUCCCUGGUGUGAAGAGGAUCACAAUCAAGCCACAAACCGACAGAUGGGUCUUCCCAGACACCAACAGUGGCAUCAUUGUGUUGGCCGAGGGUCGUCUCAUGAACUUGGGAUGUGCCACUGGACACCCCAGUUUUGUGAUGUCUUGCUCUUUCACUAACCAAGUCAUUGCCCAACUCGAGUUGUGGAAUGAGAGGAGCAGUGGCAAAUACGAGAAGAAGGUGUACGUCUUGCCAAAGCACCUUGACGAGAAGGUUGCUGCCCUUCAUCUUGGAAAGCUCGGAGCCAAGCUUACCAAACUCACCAAGGAUCAAGCUGACUACAUUAGCGUACCUGUUGAGGGUCCUUACAAGCCUGCUCACUACAGGUACUGAGGGGAAGAGACGCUCACAGUGGAACAACGAUACGGCGGCAUGAUUGUUUUGUUUUUAAUACUUUUAUUUUGUUUAGGUAGUGUGUUUUUAUUUUUGUUGGGGGAUAUUUUGCUGGAAAGUUGACCUAAAUGUGUUUGAAUAAUAUUUGAAUUAUGGUUGGGGUGGUGUCAUAUGAUAUUGUACCAAGUUAGAUUCAUUUGCUUUCUUGUUUCUAUAAAAUUUGCUUCAAGGAAACAAAGCAUCAUGUUUUUCAUUUUCACUACAUCUUUGCUUUAUUUACUUGAUGUUAUUGCAAUUCUUCUCUUAUUUGGCUUCUGUUUAUGCAUCCAUAUGAGAGAGUUCACUUCUAAGAGGGAACAUAUGGUUGACUCCUAGUGAAGAUUUGCGUAGUCUUUGAAAUUUAUAUUUGUGACUUUCGAAAAGCAUAAUAGAGAUGAAAGGAGUAAAUUACUGUACUUUUUAAAUUAAACUUUAGGGAUGGGAACCACCUUGGGGAUUAUCACACCUCAGCACUCAAAAUAACUCCUUUUUGUGAAUAAAACUCCUUUCGUUUCACAAAGAAAUUUAAGAAUAUAAAGUAAUUUUUGAAUUUUAUGAUUCUAAAUUGGAAUUUGAUUAAAUACAAAAUUGUACUUUGAUUUACUGACCUUAAACACGUCACAAGAGGCCAUUCUUUUCGAAAUAAACUAAAAAAAAAAGUCAUUCUUUUUUAAACGGAGAGAAUAUCAAAAAAAAAGAUGUCCUUUCGUUUCACAAAGAAGUUUAAGAAUAUAAAGGAAUUUUUGAAUUUUGUAAUUCUAAAUUAGAGUUUGGUCAAAUACAAAAUUUUAUUUUGAUCUACUGACCUUAAACACGUCACAAGAGGCUAUUCUUUUCAAAAUAAACUAAAAAAAAAAUCAUUCUUUUUUAAAUGAAGGAGUAUAAAAAAAAGAUGAAAGAUUCUUAAUUUUUUUUUUCUAAUUGUACAAAUAAUUAACUACAUUGAGCAUAAAUCUCUCUUUACAUCAUUUAAAAUGAUGACACACUUGAAUUUUUUUUUUUUUUGGGAGAAUUUGAAAUUUCAGAUCAUAAAUUUGAGCCCCAUUUAGCCAAAACAAUAAUUUGUAUGUACACUUCUUCUAACUAUUUUGUGCAAUCUAAAAGGACCUCAAAUUUGAGAUAUUUGGGUGAAAAAGUUGAAUGCUUGUUGGAAAAGAAAUAGCUUUUUUAAAGGGAGAACAAAACAAAAUUUGCUUGUAAAAAAAUAAAGUAAUUAUAAACUUAUUUGCCUAAAAUUAAAUGAUCUUUCACCAACCACCACCACCAAAUUUUCUUUGUUUUUUUCAACUUCAUUUCACCUAAUGCUAUCCAAUUAGAUAAGAUAGUCUAAUUAACCAUGGUUUAAUAAAAGAAACAUCAUGCAUCUAUUAAUUAUGGUUUGAGUUCGAGUUCUAAUAUAUAUGUAAAAACUUGAUAGAAAAGAAAAUCCUUCUGUUUUGAAUGAAUAUUAUGUAAUGGAAAAUCGAAUUAAUUGAACUCUAAAUAUCAACAAAUAUAUAGGGAAAUUUUAUAAGUGAGGUUUGUGAGAAUAGAGUAUAUGCAAAUUUUAUUAUUAUCAUAUGGAGGUAGAUACACUAUUUUCAAAAGACCGUCGACUCUAAUACAACUAUUUAAAUAUAACGAGAAAAUUAUGAUACGCCACAAAAAAUAGUAUCAAGUCUACUAAAAAGGAGCAACAACAAUAAUAAAAGAUGCAUCAAUUGAAACGUAAUAAAUAAUAAAUAUACUAAGAUAGAUUAUUAAAAACGAUGAUGUAGUAAAGUUUGAAACUAAUUUUAUUCUUUGUAAGGAAAAAUUGUAGUACUUUCUCCGUUUCACAAAGAAUGAUCUAAUUUGACUUAACACGAAGUUUAAGAAAAUAAAGAAGACUUUUGAUCAUGUGAUCUCAAAUUAAAGUUAUGUCAAAUGUAUAAAAUUACACUUUAAUAUUGUGGCCUUAUAUAUGUUAUCUAGAAAAUUAUUACCAAAAAAAAGAAAAAUAUAAUUUUUUUGAAACACUGAAUCAGAAAAAAAAUAAAAUUGUAGUCACUAUUGUGAGUCACUUUAAUUAAAGACAACAUGGUCCUUUUGCCGCACCGCAAUUUGGAAAUUAAGAUGUGCACUUAUAGUAGCUAAUUCAAUUUUAUUGGGUUCAUGUGGGAGACGUUAAAAUAAUCGUAUUGUUGAAUAUUUUAUCUUUUUUACUUUUAAUUUAAUAGAGUGUUUUUAUAACAUGGUAAAAAAUAUCGCUUAAUAAAUCACACAUUUGAAAACAUGAACAAUAGCCUGACACAAGUAAACAUGCAAAGGUUUCGACAUGUAAAAGGGGAGUUCUUGUGAGCAUAGUUCAUAUUCAUUUAUCUCUAAAAUGUAUAAGGUGGAGGCUCAACGUAUAAUUUUUGAGACUCAUUUUAGCUGUGCUCAAACAUUAUUCAUUAUUUUCUCGAGGACAAUUUUUCUUAAUUAUACCUAUACUGAUUGCCACGAAUAUUAACAUUUUUUUUUCAAGGUAAUGUUUGAUUUCCUGAAAUAUGUUACAUUUGAGAGAAAAAAGAGAUUAAUCAUUGCAUUCAUCCAUAAAAUACAAUGUUAUAAUUUGGUUCAUGAACUAUCAUUGGUAUCUUGAUCACAAAUAUAUCUUUCCAUUAAUGUACAAAUUUUACACAAAAAAUACAAUAAAAACCUUCAGAGCUUUAUGGAUCAAUUGCUAAAUGUAAGACAAAUUCAAACAAAUCGUAUUUAGAAUGAAUAGGUUAAAAAUAUUUGAACUAUUAUACUUUCACGAGUUACAUGUAUCUAAUAGCCGUAUGUUCCUUUUAUAUCACCAAACAAUAAUUUCGUGUAUAUUAAAAAACCCACCAUCACAUAACUACAUGUGUGUCUAUUACACACCCAAUUUACCUAAAAACAAUGCCAACUAACGAGGGGGUUUUAUUAUAGAGAGAAUUAUUAUUCCAAGCGUUAAUAUAUUGAGAUCUCUUUCACUCUUAAUCAAAUAAAAUUCGAAAUCAAAAAAUGAAAAAUGCAAGGGAGUAUUAAUUACAAGAAAAUAUGCUACUACAUCAUCCUUUCUCAUUCGUGUCUGAUAUUCAUAUUGAAGUCUAACUAAUUCAGGUUCACAUCACAUAAAAUCUCGUUCAUAAAAAAAUAUUCAAAUAUAAAUGAGAUUUGAUUAAGCAAAAUGACUAAUCUUUUUCUACCCCAUCAUCGCUACCAACCAACCAACUCCUAGAAAUAAAUUUAAAAACAUCACCUUAAUGAAAAAAUAAACUAAGCACUUCCAAUUUUGAAAAGAAAAUACAUUCAUCCAAUCAAAAUUUUAGAUAUUUUUUAUUUAUCAAAUUUGUAGGUCUACCAAACCUCAAUUUAAUCCAAUCAACUAUUCAGAUCUGAAACAAAUCUUGACCGUCCAUUUCCAUCAGAGAAGCCUAUUUAUACCAAUCACUUCCUUCCCUUAUUUCUUGCAACACUCUUCUUCUUCCUUAAAACCCAAAGGAAGAAAAGAAAAUCGCCUCUUUCUGUCAAUUUCAUCUCAAAAUCUCCCAUUUUCUCUCAGUUUUUCUCUUAUACUCGCCUUACCCAUGGCUCUACUCGUUGAGAAGACCACCUCUGGCCGCGAGUACAAGGUGAAGGACAUGUCCCAGGCUGACUUCGGCAGGCUCGAAAUCGAGCUUGCCGAAGUUGAAAUGCCUGGUCUCAUGGCUUCCCGUGCUGAAUUUGGCCCUUCACAGCCCUUUAAAGGUGCAAAGAUCACUGGAUCUCUGCAUAUGACUAUCCAAACUGCUGUUCUUAUUGAAACCCUAACUGCUUUGGGUGCUGAAGUUAGAUGGUGUUCUUGCAACAUCUUCUCAACUCAGGACCAUGCUGCAGCAGCCAUUGCACGUGACAGUGCUGCUGUUUUUGCCUGGAAAGGUGAGACUUUGCAGGAGUACUGGUGGUGUACUGAGAGGGCACUUGAUUGGGGUCCAGGUGGUGGUCCUGAUCUGAUUGUUGAUGAUGGAGGUGAUGCUACUCUGUUGAUUCAUGAGGGUGUUAAGGCUGAAGAGGAGUUUGCUAAGAAUGGAACAAUCCCAGAUCCUAGUUCUACUGAUAAUGUUGAGUUUCAACUUGUGCUUACUAUUAUUAAGGAGAGUUUAAAGACUGAUCCUUUAAAAUACACUAAGAU